rnacentral:rRNA from 1 species
UACGAAGGGGCUAGCGUUGCUCGGAAUCACUGGGCGUAAAGCGCACGUAGGCGGAUUGCUAAGUCAGGGGUGAAAUCCUGGAGCUCAACUCCAGAACUGCCUUUGAUACUGGUGAUCUUGAGUCCGGGAGAGGUGAGUGGAACUGCGAGUGUAGAGGUGAAAUUCGUAGAUAUUCGCAAGAACACCAGUGGCGAAGGCGGCUCACUGGCCCGGUACUGACGCUGAGGUGCGAAAAGCGUGGGGAGCAAACAGGG